UUCUUUUUUUUGCGAAGUUGGGGUCCAGUCCUAUUUUUUAACUUUGGAUUGGCCCCAACAUUUCUCAUAUUUUGUCAAGUUUGCCCAUCAGACCAAUCUUUAGACUUUAAAACACCCAAUUUUCUAUAAAUUUCCUUCCUUUUCUCUCUCUCUAAAUCUCUCUCCGUCUACCUUGCUUUGCCUCUGUAACUCCCCCCUCUCCCCUGGCCUCUCUCUCCCCAUCGCCAAAGACAUAUGUAUCUCCAUCACAAAGAAGAAGACGAUUUUAGUUCUGAUUUGUAAAUCCCAACAUCGUAACAAUAUUUAGUCUUAAAACCCCCAAUUUUUUACUUCAAUUCUGAUUGGAUUGCAUUUCCCACCCUCUGAAUCAAUUUCGUGGCUGGUGUUUCUCAUUGAUGAUAUGCCCCACCUUAAAGCGAUGAAUUUUGAUUGUUGGAUAUCCAAAAUCAUAUGAGUUGGACAUUUGAGUGUUUUUUUUUACUCUGCUGCCUAAUGGUGAGGACCGAAAGGUUAGAGUAGGCAAGUCAUGAGCGAAAUGAUAAAGAAAUCCCACUAAAAAUAGAAGCCCUUCACACAAUGUUGCCUACUACAGUCAAGAGCUCGACCUCAUUGAUAUUAAAAAGGUUAGCACAACCACAAGUAUUUUGUCACAAUUUUUAAUUUCAUUGAAUAAAUCUAGCAUAAAAAUUUAAUUAUUUGUAUGACUAUUUGUGGGUUUCACAUUAUACUUAUAAAAUGAAGCUUAUUAUUUUAAAAUUGUAGGUUUAGUGGCAGCCAUAUAUCAUGGAACUAAAUAGGGGCCAAAUGGAUUAGGAUGGUUGGGAAGCAUCUAAUGAUGCUUUCACCUCCGGAAUGUGCAAUUCAUUUCUUAUUUUUGAUAUACCAGAGCGAGUGCUUCGUCAGUUUGGCUACAAGUAAGAAAGUCCAAAUAAUCCUAAGAGCUGGGAACAAGGAGAGUGGCAUGGUAGGUUGGUGGCUUGAUGGGUACAGGAGCUAGCCACACAAAUCCAAAUAUGGAAGGAUCAAUAAAAUUAUUGGGCUGGGGGUGUUGAUGUUGAAGCAGACACUGAUGAUGGGGUGCCUUCCGUAGAGUAGAUGCAAUGGUUCUAGAGGGUGUCUAGACCGAUGAUUUGGGCCCUACAUUUCCAAAGGAAGUAAUAUAUAUCCCGAGAAGAUAUCCCAACAACUUGAGCAUAUGAUUAACAGGGUACAACGCAUGCUGCAAUACCUCACUUUUGUGCUAGCUUCAAAUGAUAUGGAACCCCUUAUUCGAGAGCACGUAAUAGCUGCAUGUUGAGAGCUAUCCAUCCAGGAGGUGCAUGCAGUCGAGGAGGUAGAUGAGGAGGAGGAGGAGAUAAAUGAGGAAAUAUAUGAGGAGGCGGACAAGGAGGCAACAGACGAGGUCCCCGUGCUUGCGCUUGUAGAGGCAGUAGAGGUGGCGACCUUGCCUGAGCCCAUGGAGGUAGAGUGCCGAUUCAAUUUCCAAAUACGAUCGAGUCAAGACAUUACAUACUGGUAGGAAUACACCUGAAUAAGUCAUCUUGUAAGCAGCUAUAGAGAAAAAAGACUGGCAAAAUGCACCUACUAGAAGGUGACAGUGGUCUAUAGUAACAAUUGCAUGACUGCAAGGUGAACCAUUAAUCUUUUACACAAUGAAUGUACAAGUCCACUGUUCAAAAUUUAUGGCA